rnacentral:rRNA from 1 species
CUUCUUUUUCCACCGGAGCUUGCUCCACCGGAAAAAGAAGAGUGGCGAACGGGUGAGUAACACGUGGGUAACCUGCCCAUCAGAAGGGGAUAACACUUGGAAACAGGUGCUAAUACCGUAUAACAAUCAAAACCGCAUGGUUUUGAUUUGAAAGGCGCUUUCGGGUGUCGCUGAUGGAUGGACCCGCGGUGCAUUAGCUAGUUGGUGAGGUAACGGCUCACCAAGGCCACGAUGCAUAGCCGACCUGAGAGGGUGAUCGGCCACAUUGGGACUGAGACACGGCCCAAACUCCUACGGGAGGCAGCAGUAGGGAAUCUUCGGCAAUGGACGAAAGUCUGACCGAGCAACGCCGCGUGAGUGAAGAAGGUUUUCGGAUCGUAAAACUCUGUUGUUAGAGAAGAACAAGGAUGAGAGUAACCGUUCAUCCCUUGACGGUAUCUAACCAGAAAGCCACGGCUAACUACGUGCCAGCAGCCGCGGUAAUACGUAGGUGGCAAGCGUUGUCCGGAUUUAUUGGGCGUAAAGCGAGCGCAGGCGGUUUCUUAAGUCUGAUGUGAAAGCCCCCGGCUCAACCGGGGAGGGUCAUUGGAAACUGGGAGACUUGAGUGCAGAAGAGGAGAGUGGAUUCCAUGUGUAGCGGUGAAUGCGUAGAUAUAUGGAGGACACCAGUGGCGAAGCGGCUCUCUGGUCU